UUUCUCAAGGUUGACCUCGGAUCAGGUAGGGAUACCCGCUGAACUUAAGCAUAUCAAUAAGCGGAGGAA
rnacentral:rRNA from 2 species